UUGCCCACUGCAUCCCUGAGCAGCGCAGGAUGGCAAAGAGUGCAGAGGUGACAAAAACACCCACUGGGUUUCAGGCCCCAUGACACCCUUCCUUUUUUCUCUUUGUUCUCCCAGCAUCCAGAGCAGCCACCUGCCCAUCGCCAGCAGCCAGGUAGAGCUGGUGGCAGACAAGUCCACGGGUGUCUUCAUUCAGAACACGUCUGUGAUCUUCAAGGGGCCCUGAGGUGCCGGGGGGACAUCACUAGGCCUUUGAGAGGAACUCAGGAUCUGGGUCCGGUGGCUCAGUGGUAAAGAACCCACCUGCCAAUGCAGGAGCUGCAAGAGACGCAGUUAUUAUCCCUGGGUUGGCAAGAUCUCCUGGAGUAGGAAAUGACAACUUGCUCCAGUGUUCUCACCUGGAAAAUUCCAAGGACAAGCUACAGUCCAUGGGGUCGCAGAGAGUCUGACACAACUGAGCAACUGAGCACCAAGAAAGGAGAAGAAGGUGAUCUGAGAGCCUGGGAACCCUGGGUCAGCUUCGGCCCUUCCGUCUCCAGAGGCAGAUGACCACAGCGUUUCUGAUGGGCCCCCAUCCGGACCAUGGGACCCCUUCUGUGUCUCCCACUGCUUUCCCACAGCAUCCUCGUCAACCAGGCCCAGGUAACUGUCUUCAGCCUCAAGAUGCUCAAGCUCUCCUAUGAGAACAAGAGUAUCACGGUUCCACCAUGAUUGUGUAAGUCCCCUCCCGACACCCAGGCAGGCAACUUUUUGUGGCUUUCACUUAGAAGAGUUG